ensembl:snRNA U12 U12 minor spliceosomal RNA
AUGCCUUAAAUGCAUGAGUAAGGAAAAUAACAAUUCAGGAUGCUUACUGCUAAUGUGAGAUGAAUUCUUGAGUACAGGUUCCCCUAAGGUAGCCUGCCUUCUUUGCAGGAUGCUGGAUGUAGCAAUCUGCUCA